rnacentral:misc_RNA from 1 species
GAUCAUUACCGAGUGCGGGCUGCCUCCGGGCGCCCAACCUCCCACCCGUGACUACCUAACACUGUUGCUUCGGCGGGGAGCCCCCCAGGGGCGAGCCGCCGGGGACCACUGAACUUCAUGCCUGAGAGUGAUGCAGUCUGAGCCUGAAUACAAAUCAGUCAAAACUUUCAACAAUGGAUCUCUUGGUUCCGGCAUCGAUGAAGAACGCAGCGAACUGCGAUAAGUAAUGUGAAUUGCAGAAUUCAGUGAAUCAUCGAGUCUUUGAACGCACAUUGCGCCCCCUGGCAUUCCGGGGGGCAUGCCUGUCCGAGCGUCAUUGCUGCCCUCAAGCCCGGCUUGUGUGUUGGGUCGUCGUCCCCCCCGGGGGACGGGCCCGAAAGGCAGCGGCGGCACCGUGUCCGGUCCUCGAGCGUAUGGGGCUUUGUCACCCGCUCGAUUAGGGCCGGCCGGGCGCCAGCCGGCGUCUCCAACCUUAUUUUUCUCAGGUUGACCUCGGAUCAGGUAGGGAUACCCGCUGAACCUAAGCAUAUCAAU